rnacentral:snRNA from 1 species
UUGGUUGGUUAAUUGGUC